rnacentral:rRNA from 1 species
CCUACGGGCGACAGCAGUGAGGAAUAUUGGUCAAUGGGCGGAAGCCUGAACCAGCCAAGUAGCGUGCGGGAUGAAGGCCCUACGGGUCGUAAACCUCUUUUGCACGGGGAUAACACCCUCCACUUGUGGCGGUCUGCAGGUACCGUGCGAAUAAGGGCCGGCUAAUUCCGUGCCAGCAGCCGCGGUAAUACGGAGGGCCCGAGCGUUAUCCGGAUUCAUUGGGCUUAAAGGGUGCGUAGGCGGGCGUUCAAGUCAGCUGUAAAAUCGCGGGGCUCAACCGCGCCCGGCCGUUGAAACUGGGCGCCUUGAGAUCGCGACAGGCAGGCGGAAUGCGUGGUGUAGCGGUGAAAUGCAUAGAUAUCACGAGGAACCCCGAUUGCGAAGGCAGCCUGCCGGGGUGGGACUGACGCUGAGGCUCGAAGGUGCGGGUAUCAAACAGGAUUAGAUACCCUUGUAGUC